UAAAUAAAUUCAUACAUACUGUAAUACAGUAAGUCAGAGUAUUUAAUUUAAUUUACAAUAACAAGUGGGCCCCCCCGAAUAAAUAAAAGUAAAGAGGACUGUGAACCUACAGUUUGGAAAAUGCAAUUCCAACGGUAGUCCUCGAUGAGAUCAGCUAUCUACAGCCUAUUCUGAACCUGAAUUGGGUGGAAAGGAGAGUGGUGAGAUUUUAUAAUCCUAGUGAGUAAACAAACAUCGUCAUAAACAUCUAGAGUUGAGUACAUGGAGACGAUAAAGUAAAUCAUCGUAAACUGGGUCACAACAUUAGAACACAUUUAAUUCAAAAUACGUAAAGAGGCUUAUGAAUCUCAUAAAAACUAAGCUUGUGCCAUGAAUCCAUCCUCGGGGACACCUUGACCGAGGCAUCCUAUCGAGAUCGCUAAGCUGUUAAAAAUUCACAUUUCCCACAAAACACAUUUUUUUUAUUUAAAAGCACAACCAGUUCUUGGUGUUGGUUGAGUUCUCCCUCACGUGGUAGUUUAGCGUGAAGUGAACCCUAAACUUUACCCCAAGAGAUACCCUACGCACCUCUCCGAUCGAGGUAAGAAUAUAAUGGGGUUUACUGUGUCCCUCUAAAAGGCUGGUUCAUAGAAACCCCCUAUUGUAGUGAUUAAUUAAUAUAUAAUCCACCAAUUCAAUAAAAUUUGCAAUAGCAUGACAUGACAAUUAUUUUACUCACAGCCUUUCAAGGCAACAAAUAAUCCGUAUUUCAAUACAAUUGCCAACCAGCCAAUCAUGCCCGAUUUAUCAUAAACCAAUCAAUUUAAACAAUCGAAUUGCAACAGUUAACAAUCUCCGUGUACUCUAUUUUUCAACAUCAUUAUUAAUUUUAAAACAAUUUAUAAAUUAAUUUCAUUGAAACACGUUUAUUCAUAAAACAUGAAAAUUUACUUUUUAAAAUCCUUUUUUCCAUAGAAUUCACGAAAUCAUUUAAAAACCACCCUAGAUAAUUAAAAUGACAGUAAGUUUAGUCACAAUGUUUAGAGUGCAGAUUUCUGAAGUACUCAGACUAUUGGUCAUCGGGUGUAAUUUUCUUACCUUUAUCGGAGGACUCACCACCUUGACACAGUACAAAAUCGAGAAACUCACUACAUUGGUACUAAAUCGAAAUUAAACUAAUUUAGACUACUAAUGCAUAAUAUGGAAUGCAAAAUGCACGAGUAACCAUCUAAAUUUCGAUACCGACCAAAUUUGUCUUAUCACCCGAUUAUUUACUAACGUGUCCAAUGUAAUCCCAAAUUACUCCAUUUCUUUUCUAAUACUUCAAUUCACCAAACAUUAUUCAAAUAACACCAAUUUCAGCAUCAAAACCCUCCCAUUUCUUAAUGGAAAAAUUCGGCCAUUGCAGUGCACUAACACCGUGAUUUUUUCCUACUUAAUUUUUCUCACCAUUAUUCAUCAUUUUCUAAGCCAUUUCUCUUGAAAUAACAACAAUCCAUCACCCAUACACAUCAAGGAAGAUUCGGCCAAUGAAGAUUCAUGGGGAAAAUGGAUUCUUUUCUUGUUGUUUUGCUUCUAAAUAUGCUAAACUAACUAAAAACACUAACAUAUCUUAAAAUCAAUUCAGUCCAACAUCUUUCUCUCUCCAUACCCAUUUUGGCCAGCCAUGAAUUCAUCAUGAAAACAUGUAAUUUAACCAUGAAAAAUAAGGAGAAAUGCUUAAGGAAAAUAGAUUUCAAGUUUAAAUUGAAAAAUCCUACCUUUUUCACUUGUUUUCCUUGAUUUUUCACACUUUUUCUCUUGAAAUUCUCCACCUAGGGUUUGUUCUUCCUUUGUUUCCCUCUUUUCCUUGCUUGGCC
rnacentral:lncRNA from 1 species